CAUAUGGGAUCCCAGCAUGUGCAAGGUGAGGACUUUAGCUGCUAGGCCACGGCGCCGGGCCCUGGUCAGCUUGUUUCUUACAUCUUCCACUGUAUCCACUGACUUCUCUAUCCUAUGUUUCAGGGGUUGAAAGUGCAAAAGCCUGCAGGAUCCAGGUGGCCUAACUGUGUUUUCUGAUCUUAAGAAACCAAACAGCUUUAGUUUAUGCCGUCACUGAAUGUUUCUUAUACAGAUACACAUCCAACAGUAAGAAAGAAGGGGAUUUCUUAGGAAUCUGAAGUAAGUGGCAUGGGUGUGGAUCUGUGGUUGCUCUAGGUAUUUAAGCAAAUAGAGGGUAUGGGUCUUUUGUGUUCUGCGAUUGACUUGGCUUUUUGUUUGUUCUUCUGCCUUGUAUAUGUUUGUUAUCAUAUAUGUUUGUCUUAGUUUGGCAUGCUCUAACAAAUUACCAUAGACUGGAUGGCUUAUAAAAAAUAAAUUUAUUUCUUUGAGUUCUGGAGGCUGGCAAAUUCAAGAUUAAGGUGCCAGCAGAUGUGCAAACCCACUUCCUCAUUCCUGGACAGUCCUGUCCUUGCAUGACCAUAGGGAUGAAGGAGUUAUCUGGAAUCUCUUAUGUAUCAGCACUAGCAGUCACUUCCCAAUGACUGCACCCCAAUUGUCAGCCCGUUGGGUAUUAGGUGUCUGUAGGAGGACGACUGAUUAUAUCUGUAGGAAAACAAUUGAUUGAAGAAACUUUGGGAAGCCUAGACAGUGUGGAGCCAGGGCUAUUGCAAUUCUGCCAGGAAGGCUCCGGGGGUAGUGGAAGUGAAGAGCUAAGAAAUUCCUAAUCCUCACAUUUAGAUAAUAGAUCAAAGAGAGGUACUUCCUCCCCCAGGCAGGGAACUAAUAGACCAAGGAAAGGAACCUGCUACAUGAAAAGUAGUAGACUCCCUCUUGCUAUUGAUAUGUAAAUUCCUCAAAACCUCCUCCCUGUUGCCUGCUUGACCACCACUGUCUUUAAAAAGUCUGAUGCUGUAAAUAAACUUGCACUAUUGCCCGUCAGUCCUCCACCUAUGUUAUUAUCAGCUCUGUGCACCAAGUCCAUCGCUGCCGGACAGCGAACUAGUGGCACCUGUGAACAAGGACUUGAAAGCAGAGAGAACUCCACAGAAAGAGAUUUAUUUUUAUUGCAA